UGCAUUAUGCUCAUGUUUGUAAAGUUCAUCAACCAUAUUUUUGAUAAUUAUCUUAAAUGCUGAGGAUCAAGAAAAGAUCCCUGGGCCCCCACCUCUUUCCACACUGACACUGGCUCUUUUACUAUGUUUUAGAUCUGGUCAGCUGGGAAUUCAAAACUACCAAGUUCUGCUAUUGUGCAGUGCAUUUGUCUCCAUAGUGUGCUCCAGGACAAUCCUUUUCAAGGUAAUCUCCAAAGCUAGAAUGUUCUCAUUCUCGUCCAGGCCUCUUGGAACUUUGACUACAUGGGAGGAUUAGCUCAAAUACCACUUCUGAUUGCCCAAACUGAUAUAUAUAUAGUAACCCAGGACUAUUUUUAGAUUUUAAUCCUCAAAAGUGUAAACAUCAUACUUAAAGGUUGAGCAUGAAGAUCUGCCCAUUUUAGAUUGGAUCACCAAAAGUGAAAAAACCCAUUCACAUUUGAAUAGGGGACGUCUGUGACCUACAUGUGUGAUAGGGGUGAUGAAUCAGAAUCGACUGACUGCCUUCUGUGCAGUACUAGAGCAGAGCAUCAACUGUGAUCAGUAGACAUAAAAUUAGGGGAAGACACAGGAAAUGACACAAGAGAAAAUGUCUUUAGAAGGGAGUGAUAGCUUCCUGAAGGAGUUCUAUUCUUCAUGAUUUUGAGAUGAGGCUGGUGAAGAGGGACAGAAGGAUCUGCUGCUUGGACCUGAGAACCUGUUCCUUUAGACAGACAUGUGGUAAGUGAAAAGCUGACUCUUAAAUGCUGGAUAUUCAGAAGA
rnacentral:lncRNA from 1 species